rnacentral:rRNA from 1 species
GCGAACGCUGGCGGCAGGCUUAACACAUGCAAGUCGAGCGGGCGUAGCAAUACGUCAGCGGCAGACGGGUGAGUAACGCGUGGGAACAUACCUUUUGGUUCGGAACAACACAGGGAAACUUGUGCUAAUACCGGGUAAGCCCUUACGGGGAAAGAUUUAUCGCCGAAAGAUUGGCCCGCGUCUGAUUAGCUAGUUGGUGAGGUAACGGCUCACCAAGGCGACGAUCAGUAGCUGGUCUGAGAGGAUGAUCAGCCACAUUGGGACUGAGACACGGCCCAAACUCCUACGGGAGGCAGCAGUGGGGAAUAUUGGACAAUGGGCGAAAGCCUGAUCCAGCCAUGCCGCGUGAGUGAUGAAGGCCCUAGGGUUGUAAAGCUCUUUUGUGCGGGAAGAUAAUGACGGUACCGCAAGAAGAAGCCCCGGCUAACUUCGU